ACGAAGGAGGCAUUUGCAACGAGUAGUUCUACAUCCGGAACCGGUCGCCGUAACGGCAUUUCCCCUCUACUCUUUGGCAUUUCCUUCGCUUGGGAGAUAUGAAUUGGUGUAGUAUACCUGGUACGUACGUACAUACAACGUGAAACUGGUAUAAAUACCGGGGGUACCGGAGGCGCGCGUGAUAACUCGAGGAGAACUCGUCUCGUGCUCCUCGUCUUCAACUAUACUUUUCUACAUUCAAACCUCAAGGACUCGACGAGCGCAAACCGACAGUCAAAUUAUCAUCGAACAUGGGUGCUGCUACCAGUAAUGACAGGUAUACGGAUGGAUGCAGCGUUUUUCUUCGCACUCAUCCUUCACCUAUCACCAUAUGCACCCAUCGACCGUUGGUCGUGCGAUUCAUUGUCAGAUCACCUCCAACGUUCCAUUAUUCGAUGUUUUCGGAGAGAGAAUAUCUGCGACUGCGGCGAUUGCAGCCAGCCUCAAACGGUCAAUUUUACCAUCAACGGAGUAGAACAUCGAGUCGACAACAGCAUCCCGUCAGGCACAUCGCUCAACGUCUACAUCAGGAAUUACGCGAAUCUGCGGGGUACGAAGUCAAUGUGCCUCGAGGGAGGCUGUGGAGCGUGCAUGGUGUCCGCAAGAGUCAACGGUCGAGUUAUGGCGGUGAACUCGUGUCUUGUACCCAUAUUGAUCUGCGAAGGCUGGGAAAUCACGACCGUCGAAGGUAUCGGUGAUCACAAGUCGGGCUAUCACCCGGUGCAAGCCAGGUUGGCGCAGUUCAACGGCUCGCAAUGCGGUUAUUGCUCCCCUGGGAUGGUGAUGAACAUGUACAGUUUGAUUCAAGGCGAGAGGCUGACGAUGACGGAAAUCGAAAACUCCUUCGGAAGCAACAUGUGCAGAUGCACGGGCUACAGGCCGAUCCUCGACGCUUUCAAGAGCUUCGCCACGGACGCCGAUCCCCAACUGAUUCACAAAGUCCAGGAUAUCGAGGAACUGUCGAAAAUCAAAGUUUGCCCGGCCAAUCCCGGAAAGAGCUGCGUCGAAUCCUGUGAGAAAAAGAAGAAGAAAACUAAGCCCACUCGACAUCUCGUCCUCGACGACGCCGAGUUUUACAAAGUUCCAACGGUGGAGGGGCUGUUUUCGAUAUUCGAAAAGAAUCCGGCGUCGAGCUACGUUCUCAACGGCGGGAACACCGGUCACGGUGUUUACCGACUCCAGAAACCCGAUAUCUACGUGGACGUGAACGGUAUUCCCGAUUUGCAAACCGUCCACUUGACAGAAGACGGUUUGACGCUGGGGGCCAAUCUGACGCUUACCACGGCGAUGCGCAGCCUUGAGAAUUUUUCGAAAAACAACGGAUUCGCCUACCUGAAACACCUGGUGCGGCAUAUCGAUCUGAUCGCCAGUGUGCCCGUUCGCAACAUAGGUACCAUAGCCGGCAACUUGAUGCUCAAACAUCAGCAUCGCGAAUUCCCAUCGGAUCUGUUUUUGAUUCUAGAAACAGCCGGUGCUCGUCUGCACAUACUUCAAAGUCCGAAAAACAAAGUCAGCGUGGAUCUCAUGGAAUUUCUCGAAACCGACAUGAGACACAAGAUCAUAUACAGCGUUGUCCUACCACCUCUCGGAGCCGAGUACGAGUACAGGUCCUUCAAGGUCAUGCCGAGAGCGCAGAACGCUCACGCCCACGUGAACGCCGGAUUUCUUCUCAGGUUCGACGGAAGAGGAAUAAUAACGGAGAAGCCGAACAUCAUCUUCGGGGGGAUAAGGCGAGACUUUCUUCACGCGAGCAAGACGGAAGACUUUUUGAAGGGUAAGAACCUCGUGGACGGGGCGAUCUUCCGGAAGGCUCUAAAAAUUCUCGACGACGAGCUGAAACCGGAUCACGUGCUGCCCGACGGUACUCCGGAAUUCCGGCGGAUUCUCGCCGAGGGUUUGUUUUACAAGUUUGUUCUGAGCAUAGCGAAAGCGGACGACGUGGAUCCCAAACUCCGCAGCGGAGGGACGGUUCUGGAGCGCGGCUUGUCGUCGGGCAGGCAGGACUUCGACACCGACAAAAACAAAUGGCCGCUGAACAAACCGGUACAAAAAAUCGAGGGGAUCCGUCAGACGUCGGGGGAGGCGCGGUACGUCGACGACCUGCACUCGAUGCCGGGCGAGGUGUUUUGCGCUUUCGCGCUCACCGACGUGCCCAACGGUUUUAUCGAGCACAUCGAUACGACCGAGGCUCUUCGAACGAAGGGCGUGGUCGCUUUCUACGUCGCUUCGGAUGUGCCGGGCAGGAACGUCUUCAUCCCGGGUGAUUCCAAACUGUUUUACAUAAACUUCGACGAACCGCUCUUCGCGGACAAGGCGGUUUUGUACGCCGGUCAACCGGUCGGCGUAAUCGCGGCAACCAGCCACGCGAUUGCCAACGAGGCCGCGAGCAAGGUGAGGAUAAUCUACGCCGGCGCUCUCGACAAGAAGCCCGUCGUCACCGUCGAAGACGCCAUCGCCUCCAAAGACGAGACCAGAAUACUGAACACCGUGGUUAUCCCGGCGCAGGCCCGAGGUACCGACGUCAAACACGUGAUCAGGGGCGAGUUCUCCUGCGGCAGCCAGUACCACUACACGAUGGAGACGCAGAGCUGCGUUUGCGUACCCCUCGAAGAUGGAAUCGACGUCUUCACGUCCACUCAGGGGGUGGAUCUCAGUCAGAACGCCAUCGCGGCCUGCCUGGGUAUUCCGGUGAACAGCAUCAACGUCCGGGUGAGGCGAGUCGGUGGCGGAUACGGGGCGAAGAUAUCUCGGUCGGCCCAGGUGGCGUGCGCCUGUGCCCUGGUGUGUCGCAAGCUCAACCGACCCGCCAGGUUCGCGAUGACCGUAGAGAGCAACAUGAGCGCCGUCGGCAAGCGACCCCAAACCCGUCAGGAGUACGAAGUCGGCGUCGACGACGCGGGGAAGAUUCAGUACCUCGACUCCAAGCACUGGUCGUCGGCCGGCUCCUCUUUCAACGAGCCGACGGGCGCGGCGGCGGCUCUGCAUUGCGGCAAUUGCUACGACGUGACGACCUGGACCCGAGAGGGCAACGAAGCUCGGACCGAUUUACCGAGCAACACCUAUUGCCGGGCCCCCGGAGCUGCGGACGGCUUGGCGAGUACCGAAAAUAUAAUGGAACACAUAGCGAGGGUGAUCGGUAGGGACCCGACGGAGGUUCGCCUAGCCAACAUGGACCCGGCCGACAACGGCAUCGCGAAAGAACUGAUGGAAGACUUGAAAUCGGAAGCGGAUUACGAUACCAGGAGAGGAGCGGUCACCGCUUUCAACGGCGAGAACAGAUGGAAGAAGAAGGGCAUCGCCGUUAUGCCCAUGAAGUACGGAUUCACGUUCUUCGGACAUUUCAACGCCUCGGUAUCGAUUUACAGGGGGGAUGGAUCCGUGGCGAUCACUCACGGCGGUAUAGAGAUCGGUCAGGGUAUCAAUACCAAGGUCGUUCAAGUCGCUGCCUACACCCUCGGCAUCGACAUGGACCUGAUUUCGGUGAAACCAACGAACAAUUUCACUUCGCCGAAUGACUCGCUCACCGGCGGAAGCUGGACCAGCGAUUCCUGCGCAUACGCAACUAUGAUGGCGUGCAAAGAACUGAUGGCCAGACUGGAACCGAUCAGACGAGGCAUGAAGAAUCCGACGUGGACGGAACUGAUAGCGGCGGCGUACGAGAAGGAAGUCGACUUGAGCGCGCGUUACAUGUUCAGAGCGUCGAGUGACGACGUCAAGCCGUACAACGUCUGGGGGGGUUCGAUCUGCGAAGUCGAGGUGGAUCUGUUGACCGGGCAACACUUGGUGAGCAGAGUCGACCUGAUGGUCGAUGCGGGCGUGAGCAUCAGCCCGGAGGUGGACGUGGGGCAGGCGGAGGGCGCGUUCGUCAUGGGACUCGGAUAUUGGACGAGCGAGGACUUGGUGUACGACCCGGACACGGCGGUUCUGAAAAACAACCGGACCUGGAACUACAAGCCGCCCGGUGCCAAGGACAUCCCCGCGGAUUUCCGCGUCUGGUUUCGCAGAAACGCACCGAAUCCCGCGGGAGUUCUCAGCUCGAAAGCAACGGGCGAGCCACCGCUCUGCACCAGUUACGCGGUUCUUCUGGCGAUCCGCAACGCCCUGGACUCGGCGAGGAGCGACGCAGGGAACACCGACAAGUGGUUCAACUUGCAGAAAUCGGUGGAGUUACCCCGUUGAUCAGCGAUAGUGCGCUCGUGGACCGAUCUUCCCAAGAUUGGGUUGAGUAAUCAUUGUAUUGGAACAAAGUUUGCACGCUAUGGCCAUUUUGUCGCAUUUCCGAGCGAAAAAAUGAAGAUCUCUCGACGAGUAUCAGGAAUUACUCGGUCCAGUCGACACGCUCGUGUUUCUAAGGCCGUAAUAUAGAACGUAGAAUUAUCAAGAUAUUCCGAUGGUUCCGAGUUGUGUCUUGAUUGAGUCGACGGAUUUGAGUCGCUGCAAACAAACUGCAUGAAAAUAAGAUUGCUGCGGACGUUUGGAAAGCGGAAACUACAGCUCCUUCGGGUCGAGGAAGCACGAUUAAUAUUCUGCGCUUUGGUUUCUUACACAUUUUGAGCCCAGAAAUCCGACUGUGCUCGCCAAAAUGUCUUGCUUAUCGAAUUGAUCGAGUGAUAGC